UGCUGGCUGCUUUGCAUGGACCCCUCCAGCCUAGCCCAGCUGCUCAGAAUUUAUAAACGAGGGAGAACUGAGAAGCAUCAGACAGGCUCGUGGAACAAGAUGGACUCACAGGCCCAGGGCUUCAUGUUACUGCUGCUAUGGGUGUCUGGUACCUCUGGGGACAUUGUGAUGACUCAGUCUCCAACCUCCCUGGCUGUGUCAGCAGGAGGGAAGGUCUCUUUGAGCUGCAAGUCCAGUCAGAGUCUUUUAGGUAGUGCAAACCAAAAGAACUACUUGGCCUGGUACCAGCAGAAACCAGGGCAGUCUCCUAAACUGCUGAUCUCCUGGGCAUCAGAACGGUACACUGGGGUCCCUGAUCGCUUCACAGGCAGUGGAUCUGGGACAGAUUUCACUCUUACCAUCAACAGUGUGCAGGCUGAAGACCUGGCAGUUUAUUACUGCCAGCAGUAUUAUAGUCUUGCCACAGUGCUUCAGCUUCCUACACAAACCUCCUGGAGAGUUUCACCAACUGCCUGUGUAACACACAGCCCUGGGUCUGCAUACUUCCUCUUUUUACAUGAGAUCCAGGGUGCCUGAAACACAUGAAAAAAAAUUCAGAGCACAGCAAAGAUAAUG